AAAAAGAAACAAGAGCACAAAUUAUGCCACCAAUUAGUAAAUAUAAAUAAAUGAGAUAAGAAAAUGUACACUCAAGAAAAGGUGAUGUGUUCAUCAAUCCAUCACAUUGGACUUCAUCUCGUGUUUUUACUACCCACUCAAGAAAAGAUUGUGUUCAUGAAUCCAUCAGCCAACAUCUUAUUUUAUUCUAAUAGGUUGCCUAAUUCAUAUAUUCGCAUGACGCAAGACCUUAUUUCAGACUGGUGGGCAAUUCUGCUGACACUCAAGUCUGUGGUCAAAACACGGUACGGACGGCACACUGAGGCAGCAGUAGCACCCUUUCAAGCCCCAAUAUUCACCUUUGGUUUUACAAUCCCUAAGAACACAAAAUUUCACCGUAACUUUGCUCUCAUUUAAUGACGAGCCUGCCAUAGUUGCGUUGGCCAGGCCAUCUU
rnacentral:lncRNA from 1 species